rnacentral:rRNA from 1 species
CACGUAGGGGGCGAGCGUUUGUCCGGAUUUAUUGGGCGUAAAGAGCUCGUAGGCGGUUCCGUCAGUCGGGUGUGAAAACUCUGGGCUCAACCCAGAGACGCCACCCGAUACUGCGGUGACUAGAGUCCGGUAGGGGAGUGCGGAAUUCCUGGUGUAGCGGUGAAAUGCGCAGAUAUCAGGAGGAACACCAACGGCGAAGGCAGCACUCUGGGCCGGUACUGACGCUGGAGGAGCGAAAGCGUGGGGAGCGAACAGG